rnacentral:lncRNA from 1 species
UUUUUUUCAUGUAGUGUUUCUUAAUUAAUAUCUGACGAUUAUCUAUAAUUAUUUAGAAGGUUUAAAUGUUACAGUUAUUUACAUAUAAUUCAAAUAACUCAGAUAUUUAACAUGGUUAAUGUCAAAUAUGAAAAUGGAGUAAAAAAAUUCACUAGCUAACUGAGUUUUGAAUUAAGAAUAAUAUUUUCAAUUACAUUAUUAUAAAAAUAAUUAUUAUUGAAAAAUAAUAUUUUAGAAACUGAAAUUUUAAGAAAGAAAUAUAUUUUAAGAGAUAUCAACACACCAAAUAAGUUUCUUCAUUACCAAAAAAAAACACCAAAUAAGAGUUCAAGUAGUAGUAAAAGAGUUAAGUCUUAUCCAAAGAGUCAUUCAUUGUCUCAACAUUUGAUUGUUUGCCAUAAAUAUGAGUUAUUAUUUUGCUUCCUGAUUAUUUUUAGGAUCCAAUGACACCGGCAAGAAUGAUAUCAAAAAAGAAAAAUAUAAGGAAUAUAUUGUUAAUUUUUUUCAUAUAGUUAAUAUCCCAUGAUUAUCUAUAUUUACUAAGAAAGUGCAAAUUUUAAGAUUAUUUACAUAUAAUCCAAAUAACUUAAAUAUUUGACAUAAUUAGCGUCUACGCAUCCACGCGGGUACUAAUACUAGUUUGUAGUAUAUAUAAGCCUAAGAUCCUUUGUGAGUUCCCAGUUAAUUGGAGAGAAGUAUGGAAAGAAAAGAGUCAGUUCUCUAUUGGUCCUAAAGGAAUUUAUUACUGUAAAAUAUUUGUAAUAGAAUUACUGUCUACCACGCAACAAGCCAAAAAUUGGUUAGUGGAAUUAAAUACGUCGGUUCAUAAUUCUUACAAGAAAACAUAGAAACUGUUUUUAGGUAUAUACUAUUGCAGAAUUUGAUUAGUAACUUAAAACAGAUUUACAAGCUAUGUCACUGAUGUAUUCUUCUUCAUGUGGUUGUUGCAUGAGGUGAAAUAUAGUCUGGUAUAGUCGUGGAAAUCUUGGAAUCUCCUGGUUUAAUCAACCCAGUGUCAAAAUUUGUUCCCCAUUCUCGUCUUCUGGCACUGCCAAAAGUAUUCCCACCUAUUCUCAACUAAAUCGGUCUAAAACUCUUUUCAACUCGAAUAGUCACGCCUUCGUGAUUGCAGCUAACGUCCAGCAUAACUCGAAGGGCUUAAGUUGCUGCCUCCAUGGAAAUCAGUU